AACGCACCUUGCACUCUUUGGUAUUCCGAAGAGUAUGUCUGUUUGAGCGUCAUGAAACUCUCAACCCCCCUGUUUUGUAAUGAAACGGGCGUGGGCUUGGAUUAUGGCUGUUUGUCGGCGUCAUUGCCGGCUCAGCUGAAAUACACGAGCAACCCAUUUGAAAUAGGCGGUUUGACUCGGCGUAAUAAUUAUUUCGCUGAGGACGUCUUCUUUAAAGUCAGCGGUGCUUCUAAUGCGCUUUUAAUUAAGCAUCUUAAGCUUUAGACCUCAAAUCAGUCAGGACUACCCGCUGAACUUAA
rnacentral:misc_RNA from 1 species